UGGGGAAUCUUGCGCAAUGGGCGAAAGCCUGACGCAGCAACGCCGCGUGCGGGAUGAAGGCCUUCGGGUUGUAAACCGCUUUCAGCAGGGAAGAAAAUGACGGUACCUGCAGAAGAAGCCCCGGCCAACUACGUGCCAGCAGCCGCGGUAAUACGUAGGGGGCAAGCGUUGUCCGGAUUUAUUGGGCGUAAAGAGCUCGUAGGCGGUUUCGUAAGUCGGGUGUGAAAACUCUGGGCUCAACCCAGAGACGCCACCCGAUACUGCGAUGACUAGAGUCUGGUAGGGGAUCGUGGAAUUCCUGGUGUAGCGGUGAAAUGCGCAGAUAUCAGGAGGAACACCAGCGGCGAAGGCGGCGAUCUGGGCCAGUACUGACGCUGAGGAGCGAAAGCGUGGGGAGCGAACAG
rnacentral:rRNA from 1 species